GUCGUUGCAUUAUAAAGUACAUGAGUACAUGUGACACUAUAACAGACACGACACAAUCUGAUGGAAUUCUACUUGUUCUUAUAAUAUUAUAUCACAUAUUAAACGUAAUAUCUAAUUCUUAUAAAGUUAUAAUUUAUUAUAUGAGUCCAAUAUACACUGGACCUAAUGUUUUAACCGGAAUAAAUCAAUCGGUCAUACAUUUUUUAUCGAUUGUACUUUUUAUGGAGCCCUAUCAUAGAACGCAGUCAGAGAUGGACAGGCUUCAGCUUCUACUAAGAUCCUUGAAGUGGAAGAAUUUGGAUAAAACAGAUGUCAGCAAUGAACUAAAUUUAUUUUCGCGAGUCAUCAACCUAAACCAAGCAACUUACACUCCUCUGGGCAUGUUUACACUCAAUAGACUCGUUGUU